GGCGACGUGGCCAAGCGGCUAAGGCAGAGGUCUGCAAAACCUCCAUCACCGGUUCGAAUCCGGUCGUCGCCU
rnacentral:tRNA from 1 species